rnacentral:rRNA from 1 species
ACGGAAUAGAUACCCUGGUAGUCCACGCCCUAAACGAUGUCUACUAGUUGUUGGUGGAGUAAAAUCCAUGAGUAAACGCAGCUAAACGCGUGAAGUAGACCGCCUGGGGAGUACGGUCGCAAGAUUAAAACUCAAAUGAAUUGACGGGGGCCCGCACAAGCGGUGGAUUAUGUGGAUCAAUUCGAUGCAACGCGAAAAACCUUACCUGGCCUUGACAUGUAACGAACUUUCCAGAGAUGGAUUGGUGCUCGAAAGAGAACGUUAACACAGGUGCUGCAUGGCUGUCGUCAGCUCGUGUCGUGAGAUGUUGGGUUAAGUCCCGCAACGAGCGCAACCCUUGCCAUUAAUUGCCAUCAUUUAGUUGGGCACUUUAAUGGGACUGCCGGUGACAAACCGGAGGAAGGUGGGGAUGACGUCAAGUCCUCAUGGCCCUUAUGGUCCAGGGCUUCACACGUAAUACAAUGGUCGGUACAGAGGGUUUGCCAACCCGCGAGGGGUAGCCAAUCCCAGAAAGCCGAUCGUAGUCCGGAUUGUAGUCUGCAACUC